GACGAACGCUGGCGGCGUGCUUAACACAUGCAAGUCGAACGAUGAACCCGGAGCUUGCUCCGGUGGAUUAGUGGCGAACGGGUGAGUAACACGUGAGUAACAUGCCCUUGACUCUGGGAUAACUGCGGGAAACUGUAGCUAAUACCGGAUACGACCCUCGGCGGCAUCGCCAGGGGGUGGAAAGAAUUUCGGUCAAGGAUGGACUCGCGGCCUAUCAGCUAGUUGGUGAGGUAACGGCUCACCAAGGAGACGACGGGUAGCCGGCCUGAGAGGGGGACCGGCCACACUGGGACGGAGACACGGCCCAGACUCCUACGGGGGGCAGAAGGGGGGAAUAUUGCAAAAUGGGCGCAAGCCUGAUGCAGAAACGCCGCGUGAGGGAUGACGGCCUUCGGGUUGUAAACCUCUUUUAGAAGGGAAGAAGCGAAAGUGACGGUACCUGCAGAAAAAGCACCGGCUAACUACGUGCCAGCAGCCGCCGUAA
rnacentral:rRNA from 1 species